CCACCUUCUCUACUUUACCAUGCCAUCUUGUGAUAGUCGAGACACAUUUCGUGUUGUAUAUGGUUGAUACAUCAUACCCAAAAAUAAAAGGUCUUUAACAGAUGCUGUAAAAAAUAUAUACAUUAAUUGUUAUUGUGGCGCAAAAUAAAGUCUUGACCAUUCUUGCAUUCCUCAUUUCAAUUGUUCGACUUGUCUAAGUGACAUUAGCAGACAUUGCAAAGACUAGGAAAAAAACGUCGUAUCUCUCUGCCUAUGAUCUGACUUAAACUUUCAAGUCAUGAAAUCAUACUUUAUACAUCACAUAAACCUGGCCUUGGCACCGCCGUUUCUGUAACGGCAAUCGUCAUGAAGCUUCAAGGGGAACAAUCCACAAGAAUAAGUGGUUUGAGCGAUGAAGAUAUAACAUUCGAAACGAUUAAAAGAUAUGCCCUUGCAGCUUUAAAAAAGGAGCGGUACACAGUAAGAGAAAUAGCAGAUGAAGGAGACACCAUAGGUCUUCUAAAGGCAGAAAUUUCAGAUCAAGAUUAAAACAUCCAUGAAAACGCCGAUAUUGGUCGGCAGAGCUCUGCACAAUGUAAUUCGAGUGACUGGAGGUUUGAAAGAAGAAAAAAAAACGUUGUUUGGUCACUUUCCUCAGUGUUGUGAAAUUCUACGAAAAGUAUGACCUUCCUGAAAAUACUGAGAGUACAGCCCGUGUAACUUGGACUGACUGAAACAAGUACAAGGAUAUUUCAAUGGGUGCUGUCGCACCUUCUGUCUCUGAAAGUUAUUUCGUCGUACAUUUGCCUGAAGGACAAAAUGAUUCGUUAACACAAAUACAUUAUAUCGGAAGCCUCAACAGUGAAGAUGGUCUUGACAAAAUUACCUACGCU